rnacentral:rRNA from 1 species
ACGGAAGGCAGCAGUGGGGAAUAUUGGGCAAUGGGCGAAAGCCUGACCCAGCAACGCCGCGUGAAGGAAGAAGGUCUUCGGAUCGUAAACUUCUGUCCUCAAUGAAGAGCAAGAGACGGUAAUUGAGGAGGAAGCCCCGGCUAACUACGUGCCAGCAGCCGCGGUAAUACGUAGGGGGCAAGCGUUGUCCGGAAUGAUUGGGCGUAAAGGGCGCGUAGGCGGUUCGGUAAGUCUGAAGUGAAAGUCCUGUCUUCAAGGUGGGAAUUGCUUUGGAUACUGUCGAACUUGAGUGCAGGAGAGGUUAGUGGAAUUCCCAGUGUAGCGGUGAAAUGCGUAGAGAUUGGGAGGAACACCAGUGGCGAAGGCGACUAACUGGACUGUAACUGACGCUGAGGCGCGAAAGUGUGGGGAGCAAACAGGAUUAGAUACCCUGGUA